CUGGCGGCGUGCCUAACACAUGCAAGUCAACUUGACUGAAGGAGCAAUCUGACAGUAGAGUGGCGCAAGGGUGCGUAACGCGUAAGUAACUUGCCCCAAGGUAAGGAAUAACGUCGAGAAAUCGGCGCUAAUACCUCAUAAUGCAGCGGAUCCGCAUGGAUAUGUUGUUAAAGGUUUACCGCCUUGGGAUAGGCUUGCGUCUGAUUAGCUAGUUGGUGUGGUAACGGCACACCAAGGCUACGAUCAGUAACUGGUCUGAGAGGAUGAUCAGUCACACUGGAACUGAGACACGGUCCAGACUCCUACGGGAGGCAGCAGUGAGGAAUAUUGGGCAAUGCUCGAAAGAGUGACCCAGCAACGCCGCGUGGAGGAUGAAGGUAUUCUAUAUCGUAAACUCCUGUGAGAGCAGACGAAAGACAGAUUAUUAAUCUGGAUGACUGUAUGCUCAGAGGAAGCCCCGGCUAACUACGUC
rnacentral:rRNA from 1 species